rnacentral:lncRNA from 1 species
AGGGCCCAGAGAAGCUGAAAGUCUUACCUGCAGCAUCUCAACUGUUGACCCUCCCAACCGACGUUCCAGAUCUGAGAUGACAUCUUUCACCAACUGGCUCUGCUGGAUCAGCUCACUUUCAGACUCUGUCAGGCUGUUCAUAAUAACUUCCUCCUCGUUCUUCAGCUUUUGAAUCUCCUGCUCCUCCUCAGAUUGGAGGAUGUCUCUCAGUUUUCCAAACUCUAUCUGGACAUUUUCCACCUCACUCUGUAUUUUGUUCUCCAGAAAGUUCUCUCAGUUUGGAUGUCAACUUUCCACUUCUCAGUUUCUUCCUUGGAUCUCUUCAGGUUUUGCAACAUUUCCUCAAACUUCUCCUGUGAGAAAGGAAUCACACCAGAGUCAAGGGAAGAACUUUCUUAGCACCA